rnacentral:misc_RNA from 1 species
GAUGAAGAACGCAGUGAAAUGCGAUAAGUAAUGUGAAUUGCAGAAUUCAGAGAAUCAUCGAAUCUUUGAACGCACAUUGCGCCCGCCAGUAUUCUGGCGGGCAUGCCUGUCCGAGCGUCAUUUCAACCAUCAAGCCCCGGGCUUGUGUUGGGGACCUGCGUCCGACGCAGGCCCUGAAAACCAGUGGCGGGCUCGCUGUCCACACCGAGCGUAGUAACUAACCUCGCUAUGGAGUGGCGCGGGCGCCUGCCGUAAAACCCCCAAUUUUUACAAGGUUGACCUCGGAUCAGGUAGGAAUACCCGCUGAACUUAAGCAUAUCAAUAAGCGGAGGA